UACAGAGGUCUCAAGCGUUGUUCGGAUUCAUUGGGCGUAAAGGGUGCGUAGGUGGCGCUGUAAGUCGGGUGUGAAAUUUCGGAGCUUAACUCCGAAACUGCAUUCGAUACUGCGGUGCUUGAGGACUGGAGAGGAGACUGGAAUUCAUGGUGUAGCAGUGAAAUGCGUAGAGAUCAUGGGAAGGAACCAGUGGCGAAGGCGGGUCUCUGGACAGUUCCUGACACUGAGGCACGAAGGCCAGGGGAGCAAACGGGG
rnacentral:rRNA from 1 species